GUGAAUAUAGCCCUCCGUUCGGUGGUUAUAGUAGACGAAUUCCCAAUUGUAAAUCCAAUAGUGUUCCUGGAUAAUUCCCACAGUAAAACACACGAACUCCCAAACAGCAUACGUAGUCAGAAUAAGGGUACAAAGAUGAACUCAGGUUUAAUGACAGGCAUGCUCUUUUUAUGGAAUUCAGCCCAUGCAAGGGAGCCUCCCAUAUAAUUAGCCAUACAUCCAAUCCUAACAAUAUACAUACUGUACAUCUCCUCCCCUCAGAUAACCAUUAAGCACAAUUAAAACGUACCAGAAAUUCCCCAAAGUUUGGAUGUACCCCAAGGACUUGGUGUCCCCAGAUAGCUAUUGUCUGGGAGACCAACAUAUUAAAAUCUCAGGCCAUUCGGUUCAGCCGUUCGGGAGAUAUAGGACUUAGAAGUUUUGACCGACUGCACGGGCAAAGUAGCCGAAAACAGUACCAUUAAUUCUGGCCCUGCAGUCGGUCUUAGAUCGCAUGAAAAACCUCCCGAACGGCUGGCCAUCCAGCUACCAUCCUUGGUUCGCUGGAUUCCCCAUCUGUUGGUAAGUCUUUCUACCGAACGCCCGGUCGUUCGGUAGUUUGGAAGGGGUUUUACCGAAGGUCUGGAGGCUUCAGCGGUGUUCGCCUGUUUGAGUGUCUGUUUUCAGUUCCAGACAUUCAAUGGCAGACACCGCUGUUCGGGAGCUAAAAUGGCCGCGAACACGAGGAAGUCCCGAAAUGGCGGCGAGACCUGCCGUUCGUGCAAAACUUCUGCCGAACGUAAUCAAGCCAGCAAGGGGGUACAGUCUGUAUAAAGGGGUGACAGGCGGGGUCGGCAUUCGGUAGUUUUACCUACCGAAUGCCAUAGGGGAACAUUGCUAUAAACACAAAUACAAAGAGGGCAUAUACAGUUAAAUAAAAAGGCAUUUCUUCACACCACUCCUCUUUUGGUUGUUUCUGGACAGGAGGAGUACGAAGUCUUCUCCAUCAUUGAUUCCAGGUUUUCUCGUGGUUCCUUACAGUAUUUGGCUGAUUGGAGGGGGUAUGGGCCUGGGUUCUUGG